AUCAACGCUGGCGGCGUGCCUAACACAUGCAAGUCGAACGCGAAAACCCCGCAAGGGGUUAGUAGAGUGGCAAACGGGUGAGUAACACGUGGGUGACCUGCCUUCGAGCGGGGGAUAACGUCCCGAAAGGGACGCUAAUACCGCAUAACAUCCUGCCUUUGAAGAGGCGGUGAUCAAAGCUGGGGAUCGCAAGACCUAGCACUCGAAGAGGGGCCCGCGUCCGAUUAGCUAGUUGGUGAGGUAAUGGCUCACCAAGGCAACGAUCGGUAGCCGGCCUGAGAGGGCGGACGGCCACACUGGGACUGAGACACGGCCCAGACUCCUACGGGAGGCAGCAGUGGGGAAUUGUUCGCAAUGGGCGCAAGCCUGACGACGCAACGCCGCGUGGAGGAUGAAGAUCUUCGGGUCGUAAACUCCUUUCGAUCGAGACGAAUUCCUUCCGGGUGAACAAUCCGGAGGGUUGACGGUACCGAGAGAAGAAGCCCCGGCUAACUCCGUGCCAGCAGCCGCGGUAAUACGGGGGGGGCAAGCGUUGUUCGGAAUUACUGGGCGUAAAGGGCUCGUAGGCGGCCAACUAAGUCAGACGUGAAAUCCCUCGGCUUAACCGGGGAACUGCGUCUGAUACUGGAUGGCUUGAGUUUGGGAGAGGGAUGCGGAAUUCCAGGUGUAGCGGUGAAAUGCGUAGAUAUCUGGAGGAACGCCGGUGGCGAAAGCGAUUCUCUGGCCCGUUCCUGACACUGAUGCGCGAGAGCUAGGGGAGCAAACAGGAUUAGAUACCCAGGUAGUCCUAGCUGUAAACGAUGGGCACUGGGUAGAGGUGGUGUCGAUACUGUCUCUGCCGAAGCAAAUGUGUUAAGUGCCCCGCCUGGGGGGUACGGUCGCAAGGCUAAAACUCAAAGGAAUUGACGGGGGCUCACACAAGCGGUGGAGCAUGUGGUUCAAUUCGAAGCAACGCGUAGAACCUUACCCGGGUUUGAAAUCCACGGAUGGGUCUGAUGAAAGUCGGAUACCCUGCCCGCAAGGGUGAAACGUGGACAGGUGUUGCAUGGCUGUCGUCAGCUCGUGUCGUGAGAUGUCGGGUUAAGUCCCUCAACGAGCGAAACCCUUGUCUCUAGUUGCCAACGGUUCGGCCGGGGACUCUAGAGAGACUGCCGUUGUGAAAACGGAGGAAGGUGGGGAUGACGUCAAGUCAUCAUGGCCUUUAUGUCCGGGGCUACACACGUGCUACAAUGGUCGGUACAAAGGGAUGCAAAGCCGCGAGGUAGAGCAAAACUCAAAAAACCGGCCCCAGUUCAGAUUGAAGGCUGCAAUUCGCCUCCAUGAAGAUGGAAUCGCUAGUAAUCGCGGAUCAGCUACGCCGCGGUGGAUAUGUUCCUGGGCCUUGUACACACCGCCCGUCAAGCCACGAAAGCUGGCAGUACCCGAAGUCGCGUACCCAACCGCAAGGGGGGAAGCGCCCACGGUAAGGCCGGUGAUUGGGACU
rnacentral:rRNA from 1 species